rnacentral:rRNA from 1 species
CACUAGCGUAUAUUUAAGUUGUUGCAGUUAAAAAGCUCGUAGUCGGAUUUUGGCUGAGAACGAUCGGUCCGCCGUUAGGUGUGCACUGAUUGGUCUCAGCUUCCUGGUGAGGAGGUGUGCUUCACGGCCACUUAGUCACCGUGGUUACUUUGAAAAAAUUAGAGUGUUCAAAGCGGGCUUACGCUUGAAUAUAUUAGCAUGGAAUAACACCAUAGGACUCCUGUCCUAUUUCGUUGGUCUCGGGACGGGAGUAAUGAUUAAGAGGAACGGUUGGGGGCAUUCGUAUUUCAUUGUCAGAGGUGAAAUUCUUGGAUUUAUGAAAGACGAACUUCUGCGAAAGCAUUUGCCAAGGAUGUUUUCAUUGA